GACGUCGAUAUUCGGCGUCAUAAACACGAUCAACUUUGGUGUUGAUGACGUCGAUAUUCGACGUCAUAAACACGAUCAACUUUGGUGUUUAUGACGUCGAUAUUCGACGUCAUAAACACGUUCAACUUUGGUGUUUAUGACGUCGAUAUUCGACGUCAUAAACACGAUCAACUUUGGUGUUUAUGACGUCGAUAUACGACGUCAUAAACACGAUCAACUUUGGUGUUGAUGACGUCCAUAUUUGACGUC